AAUCAACGCUGGCGGCGUGCCUCAGACAUGCAAGUCGAACGCGAAAGUUUCCUUCGGGAGAUGAGUAGAGUGGCGCACAGGUGAGUAACACGUGAGUAAUUUACCUUCGGGUGGGAAGUACUAACCGGAAACGGUUGUUAAUACCGCAUAAUGCAGCGGCAUCAAUGAUGACAGUUGUUAAAGCGGGGGAUUGGAGCAAUCCGACCUCGCGCCUGAAGAGAAGCNCGCGGCAGAUUAGCUAGUUGGUAAGGUAAUGGCUUACCAAGGCGACGAUCUGUAACCGGCCUGAGAGGGCGGUCGGUCACACUGACACUGAAUAACGGGUCAGACUCCGUACGGGAGGCAGCAGUCGGGUAAUUUUGGGCAAGUGGGCGCAAGCCUGACCCAGCAACGCCGCGU
rnacentral:rRNA from 1 species